rnacentral:lncRNA from 1 species
UUUUUGAGGGAGUCUAAGGAUCUGUUAUGCAAGUGACAUUUUUUAACUAGUUCCAAUUGGGCAAAAUUAAUUAACUUUGCAAGCGUAACAUGUUUUACAGUUAUAUGCAUAUAUCAGGUUCAGAUAUUUGGCACUAAAUGCAAGUCAGCAAGUGUACCAUUUCUAGCAACGAAACAGAUAAACAAGUUUAGCAUAGCAUAAAUGUAUUCUUCACGGUUUAACAUAGAAAAAUAUGAAUAGUAAGAACUUGAAUAAUGAAAACAGACUAAGUUCAAUGGUAUGAGUAUGAAUAAGCAUAAAGCACCAAAAGUACUAUCAAUGAACAGGGGAUAUAAAAAGGAUCUGUAUUUUUUUCAUUUUCGUUUUUUGAGGGAGUCUAAGGAUCUGUUAUGCAAGUGUAACAUUUUUUUAACUAAUUGUAAGAGGGCAAGAUUGAAAUGAAUAACUAAUUGCAAAUAUAAGAACUUUUACUGUUAUAUGCAUAUAUCAGGUUCAGAUAUUUGGCGAUGAAAUAAAUACUAGAGCAUCAUGCCUAACCAAUAGUAAAAUGAGGGGAGACACAGGGUUACCGGGGCAGGAGAGGAGACUUACUGACGCGGCAGCGGCGGUAGGAAGAGAAUGUAGAGAAAAGGCCCC